UGGUGAUGGUGUGAGCCACACUGUCCCUAUAUACGAAGGAUAUGCCCUCCCUCAUGCCAUCCUUCGUUUGGACCUUGCUGGUCGUGAUCUCACGGAUGCCUUGAUGAAGAUUCUUACAGAGAGAGGUUAUUCCUUCACUACCACUGCUGAGCGAGAAAUUGUCAGGGAUAUCAAGGAGAAGCUUGCAUAUGUUGCCCUGGACUAUGAGCAGGAGCUCGAGAGCGCUAAGACCAGCUCCUCCGUGGAAAAGAGCUAUGAGCUGCCGGAUGGACAGGUAAUCACAAUCGGUGCAGAGAGAUUCCGAUGCCCAGAGGUUCUCUUCCAGCCAUCUCUGAUUGGUAUGGAAGCCGCUGGUAUCCAUGAGACGACUUACAACUCGAUCAUGAAGUGUGAUGUGGAUAUCAGAAAAGACCUGUAUGGCAAUAUAGUUCUCAGUGGUGGAACGACUAUGUUCCCUGGAAUUGCUGACCGCAUGAGCAAGGAGAUCACGGCCCUUGCACCAAGCAGCAUGAAGAUCAAGGUGGUUGCUCCACCAGAGCGG
rnacentral:lncRNA from 1 species